UACGGAGGGUGCAAGCGUUAUCCGGAUUUACUGGGUUUAAAGGGUGUGUAGGCGGGCUUUUAAGUCAGUGGUGAAAUCUCCGGGCUCAACCCGGAAACUGCCAUUGAUACUAUUAGUCUUGAAUUUUGUUGAGGUAGGCGGAAUAAGUCAUGUAGCGGUGAAAUGCAUAGAUAUGACUUAGAACACCAAUUGCGAAGGCAGCUUACUAAGCAAAUAUUGACGUGAGGCACGAAAGCGUGGGGAUCAAACAGG
rnacentral:rRNA from 1 species